GAUGAACGCUGGCGGCGUGCUUAAUACAUGCAAGUCGAGCGAACAAAUGCGGAGCUUGCUCCUCUGUCUUUAGCGGCGGACGGGUGAGUAACAAGUGGUUAGUCACCUUCUCCCACUUGGUUAACUACGGCAAACCGGAGCUACUACCGGGUGAUAUAUUGAACCUCUUGCUUCAAUAGUGAAGGACGGUUUUUCUGUCGGUUGUAGAUGGAUCCGCGCCGCAUUAGCUAGUUGGUAGGGUAACGGCUUACCAAGGCAACGAUGCGUAGCCGACCUGAGAGGGUGAUCGGCGACACUAGAACUGAGACGCGGUCCAGACUACUACGGGAGGCAGCAGUAGUGAAGCUUCCGCAAUGGGCGACAGCAUGAUGGAGCAACGCCGCGGGAGUGGUGAAGGUCUUCGUAUCGUAAAGAUCUGCUAUUAGGGAUGAACAAAUGUGGAAGUAACUAUGCACGUCUUGACGGUAGCUAGUCAGAAAGCGACGGCUAACUACGUG
rnacentral:rRNA from 1 species